CGUAGGCUGUAACCUUCACCUCCUGUUUGGGGAAACUAGUUACUUUGAUCACCCCCCCUCCCCAUUACAUUGUAUCAUGUGAGUGAGUUACUUUUAAGUGGCGGGGGGAGAGGGCAUGAGUGCUAAUCAGCGGAGGGAUCUACUGUGAUCUGCAAAGUGAACCAUCGUCCUGGAGAGAUCUUGAAGAUAGCAGUCCAGUAGUCAUGUCAGUCAGCGUCCAUGAAAACCGUAAAUCCCGAACGAGCACUGGUUCAAUGAACAUCUUGCUGUUCCACAAAGCCUCCCAUCCAGACUGUGUCCUGUCUCACCUCAACACCAUGAGGAAGCACUGCAAGUUCACUGACGUCACCCUCUGGGCUGGGAAUAAGUCCUUUCCAUGCCACCGGGCUGUGCUUGCUGCUGCCAGCAGGUACUUCGAAGCCAUGUUUAGCAACGGCCUUCGCGAGAGCUUGGGCGACAAGGUAAAUUUCCACGAUAGCCUGCACCCAGAGGUGUUGGAGCUGCUGUUGGACUAUGCUUACUCAUCCAAGAUCAUAAUCAAUGAGGAGAAUGCAGAGUCCCUCCUGGAAGCCGGCGACAUGUUGCAGUUCCAGGACGUCAGGGAUGCGGCUGCCGAGUUCCUUGAGAAGAACCUGCACCCUUCCAACUGUCUGGGCAUGAUGGUCCUUUCAGAUGCUCACCAGUGCAAGAGGCUCUAUGAGCUUUCUUGGAGGAUGUGCUUGGUCAACUUUGAGACAGUCCACAGAAACGAAGAUUUCAAUAACCUCUCCAAGGACACCUUGCUGGACUUGAUUUCCAGUGACGAGCUGGAAAUUGAGGAUGAGGAGAAGGUAUUCAAGGCAGUCAUGCAGUGGGUGAAGCAUGACUUGGACAAGAGGAAGUCUUUCCUCCCAGAGAUGUUGAAGAACGUGCGACUGGCCUUGCUGCCUUCUGAGUGCCUGAAGGAAGCCAUGACCUACGAGGAGCUGAUCACAGCGGAAGACCAGAACAAGCAAAUCAUGGUUGAAGCUCUUUGGUGCAAAAAGAAGAUAUUGCAGAACGAUGGGGUGGUCACCAGCCCCUGUGCCAGGCCUCGGAAAGCUGGGCACACUUUGCUCAUCUUAGGGGGCCAGACGUUUAUGUGUGACAAGGUUUACCAAGUAGACCACAAGGCGAAAGAGAUCAUCCCCAAAGCCGACCUCCCUAGCCCUCGAAAAGAGUUCAGCGCCUGCGCCAUUGGCUGCAAAGUCUACAUCACUGGAGGCAGGGGCUCCGAAAACGGGGUCUCCAAGGAUGUCUGGGUCUACGACACAGUGAACGAGGAGUGGUCCAAAGCUGCCCCGAUGCUCAUCGCUCGCUUUGGACAUGGCUCGGCUGAACUGGAAAACUGCCUCUACGUCGUCGGCGGACACACCGCAGUGGCCGGGGUCUUCCCAGCCUCUCCUUCCGUUUCGCUGAAACAGGUGGAGAAGUACGACCCUCUCACCAACAAAUGGACUAUGGUGGCCCCUCUGAGGGACGGCGUCAGCAACGCAGCCGUCGUCAGCGCGAGGCUAAAGCUCUACGUCUUUGGUGGGACCAGCAUCCACCGUGACAUGGUGUCCAAAGUCCAGUGCUACGACCCGGUGGAGAACCGGUGGACCAUCAAAGCCCAGUGCCCCCAGCCCUGGCGCUACACGGCAGGCGCCGUCCUGGGUAGCCAGAUCUUUAUCAUGGGUGGAGACACGGAGUACACAGCGGCCUCCGCCUACCGCUUUGACUGCGAAACGGACCAGUGGACGCGGAUUGGGGACAUGACGGCCAAGCGGAUGUCCUGCCACGCUUUGGCCUCUGGGAACAAGCUUUAUGUGGUGGGCGGCUACUUUGGGACGCAGAGGUGCAAGACACUGGAUUGUUACGACCCGACCUCAGACACCUGGAACUGCAUUACCACUGUGCCUUACUCUCUCAUCCCGACAGCGUUUGUUAGCACUUGGAAACACUUACCAGCUUGAGGCACACAGUCUGCAGGCGAGAACUGAGGAGCUUGAGGAGGUAAGGUAUCUUAAUGGAAGUUUCUGCUGAUGCCUGCAGAUUCCUCUUUUGCAUGGACUUCUAGACAGGAACCCCAGAAGCUUAACAAAUAUAAAAGAUGUGACAACCCUGCAAAGAUAGUGACACUGAAUUUGUAUUCCAGUAACGUUACUGGAAUCUGCACAAGUGGCUACUGGCUUUACUGCCUCCCACAGGGCUCAUUCCUCUCGCUGCCUCAGUAUGGGGAGGGAUGUCAGGCUGCUCCAAGAAGUAACCGGAUGGAUGGAUGGAUGGGGAGCCUGAGCAAAUCGUUUGCUCGAAGGUAAAGGGCGCAAUGCACUGUGGACAUCCUUCGAUGGCGGCAGCUUUGCCAGCGCCACACGGGUGCCAUGUUGGCAUCGGCUGGGUUUGGAAGAGAGCCCAGUAAGGGAAGGGACUGAAAAGCCUCAGCAUCUUUCUUCAGACAAAGGAAGCCUUUUGAGGACUUCAGAAACUCGGCUGCACCACAUGAAUGAAGCACAGGCACCUCUGCAAGGGCUAGAUUUGCGUUGAGUCAUUUUG